GGGUAGUUUGACUGGGGCGGUCUCCUCCUAAAGAGUAACGGAGGAGCACGAAGGUUGGCUAAUCCUGGUCGGACAUCAGGAGGUUAGUGCAAUGGCAUAAGCCAGCUUGACUGCGAGCGUGACGGCGCGAGCAGGUGCGAAAGCAGGUCAUAGUGAUCCGGUGGUUCUGAAUGGAAGGGCCAUCGCUCAACGGAUAAAAGGUACUCCGGGGAUAACAGGCUGAUACCGCCCAAGAGUUCAUAUCGACGGCGGUGUUUGGCACCUCGAUGUCGGCUCAUCACAUCCUGGGGCUGAAGUAGGUCCCAAGGGUAUGGCUGUUCGCCAUUUAAAGUGGUACGCGAGCUGGGUUUAGAACGUCGUGAGACAGUUCGGUCCCUAUCUGCCGUGGGCGCUGGAGAACUGAGGGGGGCUGCUCCUAGUACGAGAGGACCGGAGUGGACGCAUCACUGGUGUUCGGGUUGUCAUGCCAAUGGCACUGCCCGGUAGCUAAAUGCGGAAGAGAUAAGUGCUGAAAGCAUCUAAGCACGAAACUUGCCCCGAGAUGAGUUCUCCCUGACUCCCUGAGAGUCCUGAAGGAACGUUGAAGACGACGACGUUGAUAGGCCGGGUGUGUAAGCGCAGCGAUGCGUUGA
rnacentral:rRNA from 1 species